UGGAAGUAAAAAAGUUGUAACAAGGUCUCCGUUGGUGAACCAGCGGAGGGAUCAUUACCGAGUUUACAACUCCCAAACCCAUGUGAACAUACCAAUUGUUGCCUCGGCGGAUCAGCCCGCUCCCGGUAAAACGGGACGGCCCGCCAGAGGACCCCUAAACUCUGUUUCUAUAUGUAACUUCUGAGUAAAACCAUAAAUAAAUCAAAACUUUCAACAACGGAUCUCUUGGUUCUGGCAUCGAUGAAGAACGCAGCAAAAUGCGAUAAGUAAUGUGAAUUGCAGAAUUCAGUGAAUCAUCAAAUCUUUGAACGCACAUUGCGCCCGCAAGUAUCCUGGCGGGCAUGCCUGUUCGAGCGUCAUUUCAACCCUCAAGCCCCCGGGUUUGGUGUUGGGGAUCGGCGAGCCCUUGCGGCAAGCCGGCCCCGAAAUCUAGUGGCGGUCUCGCUGCAGCUACCAUUGCGUAGUAGUAAAACCCUCGCAACUGGUACGCGGCGCGGCCAAGCCGUUAAACCCCCAACUUCUGAAUGUGACCUCGGAUCAGGUAGGAAUACCCGCGAAUUUU
rnacentral:rRNA from 1 species